CCCUAGCCCUGAUGGUAGCGACAUCCUUUUGUGGCGGGGUUCGCCACAAAAGAUAUAGCGAACAGCAGGAAUAGCU
rnacentral:sRNA from 1 species